rnacentral:rRNA from 1 species
UCGGGAAUAUUGGGCAAUGGAGGGAACUCUGACCCAGCCAUGCCGCGUGCAGGAUGAAGGCGUUAUGCGUUGUAAACUGCUUUUUAUAUAGGAAGAAAUAGUCCUUGCGAGGAAAGUUGACGGUACUAUAUGAAUAAGCACCGGCUAACUCCGUGCCAGCAGCCGCGGUAAUACGGAGGGUGCGAGCGUUGUCCGGAUUUAUUGGGUUUAAAGGGUGCGUAGGCGGUUUAUUAAGUCAGUGGUGAAAGACGGUCGCUCAACGAUUGCAGUGCCAUUGAUACUGGUAGACUUGAGUAUGAUUGAGGUAGCUGGAAUGGAUAGUGUAGCGGUGAAAUGCAUAGAUAUUAUCCAGAACACCAAUUGCGUAGGCAAGUUACUAAGUCAUAACUGACGCUGAGGCACGAAAGUGUGGGUAUCAAACAGGAUUAGAUACCCUCGUAGUCCCUGAGCGGGCUGGCAAGGCGCAU